rnacentral:sRNA from 1 species
GAUACGCCUUAGGGUCCGUUAAGGGCCUGU